rnacentral:rRNA from 1 species
GACGAACGCUGGCGGCGUGCUUAACACAUGCAAGUCGAGCGGUAAGGCCCUUUCGGGGGUACACGAGCGGCGAACGGGUGAGUAACACGUGAGUGACCUGCCCUCAGCUCUGGGAUAAGCCUGGGAAACUGGGUCUAAUACUGGAUAUGACUCCACGGUGCAUGUCGUGGGGUGGAAAGCCUUGUGCGGCUGAGGAUGGGCCCGCGGCCUAUCAGCUUGUUGGUGGGGNGAUGGCCUACCAAGGCGACGACGGGUAGCCGGCCUGAGAGGGCGACCGGCCACACUGGGACUGAGACACGGCCCAGACUCCUACGGGAGGCAGCAGUGGGGAAUCUUGCGCAAUGGGCGAAAGCCUGACGCAGCGACGCCGCGUGAGGGAUGACGGCCUGGUGUAAC